rnacentral:rRNA from 1 species
AGCAGUCGCCGCGGUAAUACGUAGGUGGCGAGCGUUGUCCGGAAUCAUUGGGCGCAAAGGGAGCGCAGGCGGGCAUAUAAGUCUUUCUUAAAAGUUCGGGGCUCAACCCCGUGAUGGGAAAGAAACUAUAUGUCUUGAGUACAGGAGAGGAAAGCGGAAUUCCCAGUGUAGCGGUGAAAUGCGUAGAUAUUGGGAGGAACACCAGUGGCGAAGGCGGCUUUCUGGACUGCAACUGACGCUGAGGCUCGAAAGCCAGGGGAGCGAACGGGAUUAGAGACCCCUGUAGUCCCUGUCUCUUAUACA